AGUGAACGUUGGCGGCGUGCCUAACACAUGCAGGUCGAACGAUUCCCGAGUGGCUUGCCAUUCGGGAAAAGUGGCGAACGGGUGAGUAACACGUGAGUAAUCUUCCCUCGAGUGAGGAAUAAUUCCGCGAAAGCGGGACUAAUACCGCAUAAUACUCUGGAGCAUAUGUUUUCAGAGUCAAAGCUUUCCGAGCAAUCGGAAGGCGCUUGAGGACGAGCUCGCGGCCUAUUAGCUAGUUGGUAGGGUAAUGGCCUACCAAGGUGAUGAUGGGUAGCCGGCUUGAGAGGGUGUACGGCCACACUGGGACUGAGACACGGCCCAGACUCCUACGGGAGGCAGCAGUGGGGAAUUUUGCGCAAUGGGCGAAAGCCUGACGCAGCGACGUCGCGUGGAGGAUGAAGGCUUUCGAGUUGUAAACUCCUGUCAGAGGAGAAGAAGUCCCGAGUAAUCGGGAUUGACGGUAUCCUCAGAGGAAGCCCCGGCUAACUACGUGCCAGCAGCCGCGGUAAUACGUAGGGGGCGAACGUUGCUCGGAAUUAUUGGGCGUAAAGGGUGUGCAGGUGGCUGAGCAAGUCAAAGAUGAAAUCCCAAGGCUCAACCUUGGAAUUGUCUUUGAAACUGUUCAGCUUGAGGAUAACUGAGGAGGACGGAAUUCCCGGUGGAGCGGUGAAAUGCGUUGAUAUCGGGAGGAACACCAGAGGCGAAGGCGGUUCUCUAAGUUAUUCCUGACACUGAGACACGAAAGCUAGGGGAGCAAACGGGAUUAGAUACCCCGGUAGUCCACGCCCUAAACGGUGGGCACUAGGUGUGGGAGGUAUCGACCCCUUCCGUGCCGCAGCUAACGCAUUAAGUGCCCCGCCUGGGGAGUACGACCGCAA
rnacentral:rRNA from 1 species